CUACGGGAGGCAGCAGUGGGGAAUAUUGGACAAUGGGCGCAAGCCUGAUCCAGCAAUGCCGCGUGUGUGAAGAAGGCCUUAGGGUUGUAAAGCACUUUCAGUAGGGAAGAAAUGCGUGUAGCUAAUAACUGCGCGUCUUGACGGUACCUACAGAAGAAGCACCGGCUAACUCCGUGCCAGCAGCCGCGGUAAUACGGAGGGUGCAAGCGUUAAUCGGAAUUACUGGGCGUAAAGCGCGCGUAGGCGGUUAUAUAAGUCGGAUGUGAAAGCCCUGGGCUCAACCUGGGAACUGCAUUCGAUACUGUAUAACUAGAGUUUGGUAGAGGGAAGUGGAAUUCCACAUGUAGCGGUGAAAUGCGUAGAUAUGUGGAGGAACACCAGUGGCGAAGGCGACUUCCUGGACCAAAACUGACGCUGAGGUGCGAAAGCGUGGGUAGCAAACAGGAUUAGAUACCCUGGUAGUCCACGCCGUAAACGAUGUCAACUAGCCGUUGGGAGAAUUUGUCUCUUAGUGGCGCAGCUAACGCGAUAAGUUGACCGCCUGGGGAGUACGGUCGCAAGAUUAAAACUCAAAGGAAUUGACGGA
rnacentral:rRNA from 1 species